CAGCUCGGCGGCCCCGCCCCCACCGCUGCCGACGCGGAGCUGCUCUGAGAGUCACGCUUCGGCUAGGCCGGGAGCUGGGUUCGGAGAGAACCUAGGCCUUCUUCGAGUCCUCCCAGGAGUCGAGGGCAGGUGCUCGGGGUCCAGCCACCCGCCUUCCUGCUGCCCCUUCCUGGCCGGCUGUCGGCGCUGCGACGAGCGCGUUAGAUAAACACUACUGACAUUACUAAAUAUCUUAAUGCACACGACAAGAUUGCUUCAAUGAAAACAGAAGUGUGAGAACUGCAUGAAGAGUUGAUCACAGGACUAUGAGUCAUCAUGCCAGGGCCUUUAGGUUAUAAAAAUUACAGCAUGGAUAAAGAAUAUUAAUCAUCAGCUACCUUUCUUCAACCAAAAACUCCUGGAAUAUCUUUAAUGCUUCAGAGAUGAGCAGCAGACAAUUUAAAAGAAAGGAUAAAGGAUGCAACCGAGCUGUUUCUAUGUGACUCGAGUCUUGAAAGAUUGUAUUGUGGCACAAUAAAAAUGUCCUUGCAGGCUGUAGAGGUAGAAAAUUGGGUUAACCUAUCUUUAAUACAGAAACUAAUUUUCAGUAAUACCCACAUUUUUAGUCUUGUGUUUUCUUUUUCUUUUUUUUUUUUUUUUUGGUGCCAGGAUCAAACUCGGGACCUUGCGUUUUGUGAGGCAGAUGCUGAACCACUGAGCUAAAUCUCCUGCCCUAGUCUUGUGUUUUCUUAUUUAUUUAAUGUUCAGGGCUGCUGUGGAUUGUAUUCAGGGCCUCAGGCAAGCUAAGCACACACCAAAGCACUGAGCUAUACCACCAGCCCCUCCCCUCUUUUUUUUGUACCGGGAUCGAAGUCGGAACCUUGCGCUGCCUAGGCAGGCACCUGAACCACUGAGCUAAAUCCCCACCCCCGCUCCUUUUGCUUUUUUGAGAAAAGGUCUGGCUAUACAGUUCAGGCUGUCCUUGAACUCACUGCAGUUCUCCUGCCUCAUCCACCCAAGUGCUGAGAUGAUAGGCAUGCACCACGCCACCUGGCUUCUCUUAACCUUUUGAUGUAGCUUUGGCAGAUAGAAUCAUGCUUGAAGCUAGAGGCUGCCAGCUUUCAACUAGUAGUUGCUAGUGAAACUUUGGUACAGUGAGGAUAAGAUGUUGUUGGCAUAGUGUAAUGUAAAAUAAAACAGUAAAACAUA